rnacentral:misc_RNA from 1 species
CUGUUUCUUUGCCGGAUUCCCGAUCGCCCCUGCCCGAAGAGGUCCCUCUCUCCUGUUCCGGUGGUGGGUUUUGUUUCCCCUUUUGCAUAAAUAAUGUCCUGGUUUUUUGGUGGUACACUGGGCUUAAUGGAGAGGGCGCUUGCAGAUCUAUCGUGGGCUCUGGUUGCCUUGGGUCUUGCAUGCAGAUUUAGUGCUCUCCAUUUCUUCUUCCAUUUUUUCUAGCUCUGGGGGUUUGUUCUUUUAUGGGAUGUUGGUAUCUCGGGGGUCCUUUGCCAGCAACGCCAUCUAUGGCCGAACCCUUAGAUAAUAGGCUAUUGAGCUCUUCCUCAUCGCCCUUUUUGAGCUGAUCUGUGUUGUUUUCCUUCAAGCUUUAUUCAGGUUCUCUUUGGCCUAGUUUGAUUCUUGUUCAGGUCUGUUAGGCUAUCCUGAGAUUAUCGUAGCUGGGGACUCUUCGAUUUGAUGGCUCAUCCAUGGAUGUUUGCCUGUGUGCUUCUUUUGGCAUGAUGUCUCCCUUCGGUGGCUGGCAGAGAAGAUGGUGAUGAUACUCCUCUCUUCUCGGGUCACUUGGAUAUGGGUCGGAUAGUAAAUUUCUAAGAUUUUGCUUGGGUGACUUGGGGAGUUAUUGGUUGAACCAACUAGGCAUCCUGGCUUGAGCUUUUUUGUGCUAGGUUUAGAGCUUAUUGUUGUAUUUUUCUCUUGUUGGACUAUGCUUGUAUAGAGCCAAAGCCAUUUCUUUUAAUGAAACUAUAACUUCUGAA